rnacentral:rRNA from 1 species
UACAGAGGUCUCGAGCGUUGUUCGGAUUCAUUGGGCGUAAAGGGUGCGUAGGUGGCGCUGUAAGUCGGGUGUGAAAUCCUGAGGCUUAACCUCGGAACUGCAUUCGAUACUGCGGCGUUUGAGGACUGGAGAGGAGACUGGAAUUCAUGGUGUAGCAGUGAAAUGCGUAGAGAUCAUGAGGAAGACCAGUGGCGAAGGCGGGUCUCUGGACAGUUCCUGACACUGAGGCACGAAGGCCAGGGGAGCAAACGGG